rnacentral:tRNA from 1 species
AGGGUAAUAGCUUAGUGGUAGAGUGUGUGCUUAGCAUGCACGAGGUCCUGGGCUCAAUCCCCAGCACCUCCA